rnacentral:rRNA from 1 species
AGUGAACGCUGGCGGUAGGCCUAACACAUGCAAGUCGAACGGCAGCACAGUAAGAGCUUGCUCUUACGGGUGGCGAGUGGCGGACGGGUGAGGAAUACAUCGGAAUCUACUUUUUCGUGGGGGAUAACGUAGGGAAACUUACGCUAAUACCGCAUACGACCUACGGGUGAAAGCAGGGGAUCUUCGGACCUUGCGCGAUUGAAUGAGCCGAUGUCGGAUUAGCUAGUUGGCGGGGUAAAGGCCCACCAAGGCGACGAUCCGUAGCUGGUCUGAGAGGAUGAUCAGCCACACUGGGAAUGAGACACGCUGCAGAGACCUACGGGAGGCAGAAGAGGGGAAUAUUGGACAAUGGGCGCAAGCCUGUGCCAGACAUACCGCGUGUGUGAGGAGGAGCUUCGGGUUUUGAAACCCUUUUGUUGGGAGAGAAAAACAGCAGGUGAAUACCCCGCUGUUCUGACGGUACCCAAAGAAUAAGCACCGGGUAACUUCGUG